rfam:Canis lupus familiaris chromosome 11, whole genome shotgun sequence.
AGGAGCAACCGCAGUGGUGGGGCCAGCUCUGGAGCCCUGGAUUCAGCCCCUGCAAGAACUACUGAGCUCUCCGUCUGCAGGGCCUGGAGGCUCCGGGGCGGG